CAUGCUGUGAGCUCGAUGAGUAGGGCGGGACACGUGGUAUCCUGUCUGAAUAUGGGGGGACCAUCCUCCAAGGCUAAAUACUCCUGACUGACCGAUAGUGAACCAGUACCGUGAGGGAAAGGCGAAAAGAACCCCGGCGAGGGGAGUGAAAAAGAACCUGAAACCGUGUACGUACAAGCAGUGGGAGCACGCUUAGGCGUGUGACUGCGUACCUUUUGUAUAAUGGGUCAGCGACUUAUAUUCUGUAGCAAGGUUAACCGAAUAGGGGAGCCGAAGGGAAACCGAGUCUUAACUGGGCGUUAAGUUGCAGGGUAUAGACCCGAAACCCGGUGAUCUAGCCAUGGGCAGGUUGAAGGUUGGGUAACACUAACUGGAGGACCGAACCGACUAAUGUUGAAAAAUUAGCGGAUGACUUGUGGCUGGGGGUGAAAGGCCAAUCAAACCGGGAGAUAGCUGGUUCUCCCCGAAAGCUAUUUAGGUAGCGCCUCGUGAAUUCAUCUCCGGGGGUAGAGCACUGUUUCGGCAAGGGGGUCAUCCCGACUUACCAACCCGAUGCAAACUGCGAAUACCGGAGAAUGUUAUCACGGGAGACACACGGCGGGUGCUAACGUCCGUCGUGAAGAGGGAAACAACCCAGACCGCCAGCUAAGGUCCCAAAGUCAUGGUUAAGUGGGAAACGAUGUGGGAAGGCCCAGACAGCCAGGAUGUUGGCUUAGAAGCAGCCAUCAUUUAAAGAAAGCGUAAUAGCUCACUGGUCGAGUCGGCCUGCGCGGAAGAUGUAACGGGGCUAAACCAUGCACCGAAGCUGCGGCAGCGACGCUGAUGCGUUGU
rnacentral:rRNA from 1 species